rnacentral:rRNA from 1 species
AACGAACGCUGGCGGCAUGCCUAACACAUGCAAGUCGAACGAGACCUUCGGGUCUAGUGGCGCACGGGUGCGUAACGCGUGGGAACCUGCCCUUAGGUUCGGAAUAACUCCCCGAAAGGGGUGCUAAUACCGGAUAAUGUCUUCGGACCAAAGAUUUAUCGCCUUUGGAUGGGCCCGCGUUGGAUUAGCUAGUUGGUAGGGUAAAAGCCUACCAAGGCGACGAUCCAUAGCUGGUCUGAGAGGAUGAUCAGCCACACUGGGACUGAGACACGGCCCAGACUCCUACGGGAGGCAGCAGUGGGGAAUAUUGGACAAUGGGCGAAAGCCUGAUCCAGCAAUGCCGCGUGAGUGAUGAGGGCCUUAGGGUUGUAAAGCCCUUUUACCCGGGAUGAUAAUGACAGUACCGGGAGAAUAAGCUCCGGCUAACUCCGUG